rnacentral:rRNA from 1 species
GCGGGGUAACGGCCCACCAAGGCUUCGACGGGUAGCUGGUCUGAGAGGACGACCAGCCACACUGGGACUGAGACACGGCCCAGACUCCUACGGGAGGCAGCAGUGGGGAAUAUUGCACAAUGGGCGAAAGCCUGAUGCAGCGACGCCGCGUGAGGGAUGACGGCCUUCGGGUUGUAAACCUCUUUCAGCAGGGACGAAGCGAAAGUGACGGUACCUGCAGAAGAAGCACCGGCCAACUACGUGCCAGCAGCCGCGGUAAUACGUAGGGUGCAAGCGUUGUCCGGAAUUACUGGGCGUAAAGAGUUCGUAGGCGGUUUGUCGCGUCGUUUGUGAAAACCAGCAGCUCAACUGCUGGCUUGCAGGCGAUACGGGCAGACUUGAGUACUGCAGGGGAGACUGGAAUUCCUGGUGUAGCGGUGAAAUGCGCAGAUAUCAGGAGGAACACCGGUGGCGAAGGCGGGUCUCUGGGCAGUAACUGACGCUGAGGAACGAAAGCGUGGGUAGCGAACAGGAUUAGAUACCCUGGUAGUCCAUGCCGUAAACGUUGGGCACUAGGUGUGGGUUCCAACCAACGGAAUCCGCGCCGUCGCUAACGCAUUAAGUG